AUUGAACGCUGGCGGCAGGCCUAACACAUGCAAGUCGAACGAGUGGCGGACGGGUGAGUAAUGUCUGGGAAACUGCCUGAUGGAGGGGGCUAACUACUGGAAACGGUAGCUAAUACCGCAUACCAUCAGAUGUGCCCAGAUGGGAUUCGCUUGUGGGUUGGGUAACGGCUGACCAAGGAGACGAUCCCUAGCUGGUCUGAGAGGAUGACCAGCCACACGCGAGCUGGUACACGGGCCAGGCUCCUACGGGAGGCAGCAGUGGAGAAUAUUGCACAAUGGGCGCAAGCCUGAUGCAGCCAUGCCGCGUGUAUGAAGAAGGCCUUCGGGUUGUAAAGUACUUUCAGCGGGGAGGCGUUACCCGCAGAAGAAGCACCGGCUAACUCCGUGCCAGCAGCCGCGGUAAUUC
rnacentral:rRNA from 1 species